UCGCCUGUUUAUCAAAAACAUGUCUUUUUGAUUAUAAUUUUAAGUCUAAUCUGCCCAUUGAAAAAUUUAAAAGGCCGCGGUAUUUUGACUGUGCAAAGGUAGCAUAAUCAAUAGUUUCUUAAUUAGAAGCUGGAAUGAAUGAUUGAAUGAAAUAUUAACUGUCUUAUUAUAAAUGAUUUAGAAUUUAAUUUUUGAGUUAAAAAGCUUAAAUUUCAUUGAAGGACGAGAAGACCCUUUAAAGCUUUAUAUUUAAAUUAUUUAUUAAUUAAAUAAAAAUUAAGUUAUAAAUAAGUAAAAUAUUUUAUUGGGGUGAUAGGAAAAUUUAAUAAACUUUUUUUAAAAGAAACAUUGAUUAAUGAAUAUUUGAUCCGUUAUUAAUGAUUAAAAGAUUAAGUUACUUAAGGGAUAACAGCGUAAUAUUUUUUGAGAGAACUUAUCGAUAAAAAAGAUUGCGACCUCGAUGUUGGAUUAAGAUUAUUUUUAGGUGUAGAAGUUUAAAAAUUUGGUCGUCGCCUU
rnacentral:rRNA from 1 species